AUUGAACGCUGGUGGCAGGCCUAACACAUGCAAGUCGAGCGGCAGCGGGAGAAAGCUUGCUUUCUUGCCGGCGAGCGGCGGACGGGUGAGUAAGGUAUGGGGAUCUGGCCGAAGGCGGGGGAUAACCACUGGAAACGGUGGCUAAUACCGCAUAAUCUCUAAGGAGCAAAGUGGGGGACCUUCUGGCCUCACACCUUCGGAUGAACCCAUAUGAGAUUAGCUAGUAAGUGGGGUAAAGGCUCACCUAGGCGACGAUCUCUAGCUGGUCUGAGAGGAUGAUCAGCCACACUGGGACUGAGACACGGCCCAGACUCCUACGGGAGGCAGCAGUGGGGAAUAUUGCACAAUGGGCGCAAGCCUGAUGCAGCCAUGCCGCGUGUAUGAAGAAGGCCUUCGGGUUGUAAAGUACUUUCAGUCGUGAGGAAGGUGUUAAGGUUGAUAGUCUUAGCAAUUGACGUUAGCGACAGAAGAAGCACCGGCUAACUCCGUGCCAGCAGCCGCCGUAA
rnacentral:rRNA from 1 species